rnacentral:rRNA from 1 species
GUCGGUUGCACCUGAAAACGGUGGGCUAACCCGCAAGGGAGGUAGCUGUUUACGGUGUGAUCGGUGAUUGGGGUGAAGUCGUAACAAGGUAGCUGUAGGUGAACCUGCAGAAGGAUCA